GACGAACGCUGGCGGCGUGCCUAAUACAUGCAAGUCGAGCGAGCGGAACCAACAGAUUUACUUCGGUAAUGACGUUGGGAAAGCGAGCGGCGGAUGGGUGAGUAACACGUGGGGAACCUGCCCCUAAGUCUGGGAUACCAUUUGGAAACAGGUGCUAAUACCGGAUAAUAAAGCAGAUCGCAUGAUCAGCUUUUGAAAGGCGGCGUAAGCUGUCGCUAAGGGAUGGCCCCGCGGUGCAUUAGCUAGUUGGUAAGGUAACGGCUUACCAAGGCGACGAUGCAUAGCCGAGUUGAGAGACUGAUCGGCCACAUUGGGACUGAGACACGGCCCAAACUCCUACGGGAGGCAGCAGUAGGGAAUCUUCCACAAUGGACGCAAGUCUGAUGGAGCAACGCCGCGUGAGUGAAGAAGGUUUUCGGAUCGUAAAGCUCUGUUGUUGGUGAAGAAGGAUAGAGGUAGUAACUGGCCUUUAUUUGACGGUAAUCAACCAGAAAGUCACGGCUAACUACGUGCCAGCAGCCGCGGUAAUACGUAGGUGGCAAGCGUUGUCCGGAUUUAUUGGGCGUAAAGCGAGCGCAGGCGGAAAAAUAAGUCUAAUGUGAAAGCCCUCGGCUUAACCGAGGAACUGCAUCGGAAACUGUUUUUCUUGAGUGCAGAAGAGGAGAGUGGAACUCCAUGUGUAGCGGUGGAAUGCGUAGAUAUAUGGAAGAACACCAGUGGCGAAGGCGGCUCUCUGGUCUGCAACUGACGCUGAGGCUCGAAAGCAUGNGUAGCGAACAGG
rnacentral:rRNA from 1 species